UCCCUGGUGGUUCAGUGGUUAGGACUCAGCACUUGCACUGCCACAACCCAGGUUUGAUCCCUGGUAGGGGAA
rfam:Ovis aries breed Texel chromosome 12, whole genome shotgun sequence.